UGCAGGAUGACGGUCCUAUGGAUUGUAAACUGCUUUUGUACGGGAAGAAACACUCCUUCGUGAAGGAGCUUGACGGUACCGUAAGAAUAAGGAUCGGCUAACUCCGUGCCAGCAGCCGCGGUAAUACGUAGGGUGCGAGCGUUAAUCGGAAUUACUGGGCGUAAAGCGUGCGCAGGCGGUUUGGCAAGUCAGAUGUGAAAUCCCCGAGCUCAACUUGGGAACUGCGUUUGAAACUGCCGGACUAGAAUAUGUCAGAGGGGGGUAGAAUUCCACGUGUAGCAGUGAAAUGCGUAGAGAUGUGGAGGAAUACCAAUGGCGAAGGCAGCCCCCUGGGAUAAUAUUGACGCUCAUGCACGAAAGCGUGGGGAGCAAACAGGAUUAGAUACCCUGGUAGUCCACGCCCUAAACGA
rnacentral:rRNA from 1 species